CCGAUUUUUCUUUGUUUCAGAUGACUCGGAAUACGACUCAGUCGGAUGUCCAUUCAUAGUUGCUGUGAAUAAAAGUGGAUUCGGAACAACGAUUGAAUGCAACCACACCUGCAACGACGGUAUUGAGACCGUGCCUAAUGGUGAAGUCUGCUUUACAAUUGGACAGGGUGGAUUCAACCGGAUGGUGCCCAAUUUUCCAUACGCAUGCCCGCUCGGAGAAUGCCAAAAUGGGACUUGCGUUCCAAAUGGAAAGAACGACACCUGCUACAAGAAAUUUAUGAACCAAUAAAGCUUCAUUUUAUGUUGACA